rfam:Salmo salar isolate Sally breed double haploid chromosome ssa24, whole genome shotgun sequence.
AGAAUUUUGCAAUCCUAAUCAAGUGUAGUAUCUGUUCUUAUCAGUUUAUUAUCUAAUACAUCCCCCAUCGGGGGAUUACUUAUUAAAUUGAUUACUUAUUAAAUAGAUUUUUCAAAUAGGGAGUGGGAAAUGGGAGUUGCUCCACGCAUUUCUUUCUUUAU